rnacentral:rRNA from 1 species
GAUGAACGCUGGCGGCGUGCCUAAUACAUGCAAGUCGAGCGAACGGACGAGAAGCUUGCUUCUCUGAUGUUAGCGGCGGACGGGUGAGUAACACGUGGAUAACCUACCUAUAAGACUGGGAUAACUUCGGGAAACCGGAGCUAAUACCGGAUAAUAUUUUGAACCGCAUGGUUCAAAAGUGAAAGACGGUCUUGCUGUCACUUAUAGAUGGAUCCGCGCUGCAUUAGCUAGUUGGUAAGGUAACGGCUUACCAAGGCAACGAUGCAGAGCCGCCCUGAGAGGGUGAUCGGCCACACUGGAACUGAGACACGGUCACGAGUCCUACGGGAGGCAGCAGUAGGGAAUCUUCCGCAAUGGGCGAAAGCCUGACGGAGCAACGCCGCGUGAGUGAUGAAGGUCUUCGGAUCGUAAAACUCUGUUAUUAGGGAAGAACAUAUGUGUAAGUAACUGUGCACAUCUUGACGGUACCUAAUCAGAAAGCCACGGCUAACUACGUG